rnacentral:rRNA from 1 species
UACACUCCUGCGGGAGGCAGCAGUGGGGAAUUUUGGACAAUGGGCGAAAGCCUGAUCCAGCAAUGCCGCGUGAGUGAAGAAGGCCUUCGGGUUGUAAAGCUCUUUUGUCAGGGAAGAAACGGUGAGAGCUAAUAUCUCUUGCUAAUGACGGUACCUGAAGAAUAAGCACCGGCUAACUACGUGCCAGCAGCCGCGGUAAUACGUAGGGUGCAAGCGUUAAUCGGAAUUACUGGGCGGAAAGCGUGCGCAGGCGGUUUUGUAAGUCUGAUGUGAAAUCCCCGGGCUCAACCUUGGAAUUGCAUUGGAGACUGCAAGGCUAGAAUCUGGCAGAGGGGGGUAGAAUUCCACGUGUAGCAGUGAAAUGCGUAGAUAUGUGGAGGAACACCGAUGGCGAAGGCAGCCCCCUGGGUCAAGAUUGACGCUCAUGCACGAAAGCGUGGGGAGCAAACAGGAUUAGAAACCCCGGUAGUCCCA